GUGAUAAUAAUAAACCCAUAGCAGCAGAAUCAUUUACACUCUGAUACGGGCUCAUACGCCAACCAGUUCAAGGACUAUUAUGAAUUGGUGGCAAGUGUUGGCGUUGAAGGAGUAAAGUGAAAAAGUGAGAUUGUGCUUCUGUGUCAUGGACUUAUUGACUGGAAGGGGGAUGCCCUUUGUACUUUUUAAGUAAUGUUCAUAUUUACCAUCAGGAAGUAAAAUUUCAUUUGGUUAUUAACAUAUCGAGCAUGAACAUAGCUACAAGUCCUGAAUUUACUCUUCAUCUCAACCACUACUGAACUGAGCCAGGUAUGGAUUUGUUGCUAGGACACGGUCUAACAAUGCUUCAUAACCUUUGGCCACAACACUCCAGUGACCCUGCUGAAUAGAUAUUACGCAUAUCCAACAAUGGAGCCGGAUCAAAGGUUCAUGUCAUAUGAAAAGACUGGAGCCAGUGGGACAAUUUUCCUGAAGAAUAGAUUUAACAAGGUCUUGUAGCUUUCGUUUUUGGUCUUGUUUGUCUGGUGGAUUUGGAGCUCCUUUCCGGGAAACGCGCUAAGAUGGUAGCGCGAUAUUAAUACACAGCAGCCUCUCAGGACUCUGGAUUGGGGAUUGCCAAACGUUACGUGGAUUUUCUAGUGUAUUCUGUUUUGUCAUAUGCUUUUUUGAUAUCAUUCUGGAGGAAUGUUGUCUCAUUUUUUUAACUGCAUUGCAUUUGUGGUUGCUAAAUGACAAUAAACUGAAUCUGAAUCUGAAAAAGGUUUUGUAACCUCCUCAUAGUAUUCAAAACAGACACUAUUGUCUGUUAUAGAUCACAGGCUGCUGGCUAAUGACAGGAGGCCAUUAAAGAAAUUUGCUUCUAUUGGCACUUGUACAAUGAUAUUUUGUCAAACAAUGUGACAUCCUAUGAUACUUUAAGACCAUCAAAAUCAGCCAUUGUUUGCAGGAAUCCCAAUUCUGCACCUUUGCAAUUACACAUGGGAAGGCAGUAAGUAAACAUUUAUGUUAAUCAGCACAUAUUGAAUCAUCUGUCAUGAGAUCAGGGAAGACAUUAUGUGAACAUCUCCUGCAUUAAUACGUAUAUGACUAAACACGUAUUCCUGCUAUUUAAUACACAAUUUAGGUCUUGACUGUUUUGCCUUUGUUUAUACAUCCAACAGACCAACCCUCAAUACUGUGAAAAAUGAAAUAUAUUUUGAGUAUUGGGUGUUUGGUCUUCA